AUUGAACGCUGGCGGCAUGCUUUACACAUGCAAGUCGAACGGCAGCGAGGAGAAGCUUGCUUCUCUGUCGGCGAGUGGCGAACGGGUGAGUAUAGCAUCGGAACGUGCCAAGUAGUGGGGGAUAACCAAACGACAGUUUGGCUAAUACCGCGUAAGCUCUAAGGAGGAAAGUAGGGGACCUAAAUAAGGCCUUACGCUAUUUGAUCGGCCGAUGUCGGAUUAGCUAGUUGGUGGGGUAAUGGCUCACCAAGGCAAUGAUCCGUAGCGGGUCUGAGAGGACGAUCCGCCACACUGGGACUGAGACACGGCCCAGACUCCUACGGGAGGCAGCAGUGGGGAAUUUUGGACAAUGGGGGAAACCCUGAUCCAGCCAUGCCGCGUGUAUGAAGAAGGCCUUAGGGUUGUAAAGUACUUUUGUUAGGGAAGAAAAGCUAGUUUUUAAUAAAAAUUAGUGAUGACGGUACCUAAAGAAUAAGCACCGGCUAACUACGUG
rnacentral:rRNA from 1 species